AUUGAACGCUGGCGGCAGGCUUAACACAUGCAAGUCGAGCGGGGUGAUGGUGCUUGCACUAUCACUUAGCGGCGGACAGGUGAGUAAUGCUUAGGAAUCUGCCUAUUAGUGGGGGACAACAUCUCGAAAGGGAUGCUAAUACCGCAUACGUCCUACGGGAGAAAGCAGGGGAUCACUUGUGACCUUGCGCUAAUAGAUGAGCCUAAGUCGGAUUAGCUAGUUGGGGGGGUAAAGGCCUACCAAGGCGACGAUCUGUAGCGGGUCUGAGAGGGUGAUCCGCCACACUGGGACUGAGACACGGCCCGGACUCCUACGGGAGGCAGCAGUGGGGAAUAUUGGACAAUGGGGGGAACCCUGAUCCAGCCAUGCCGCGUGUGUGAAGAAGGCCUUAUGGUUGUAAAGCACUUUAAGCGAGGAGGAGGCUCUUUUGGUUAAUACCCAAGAUGAGUGGACGUUACUCGCAGAAUAAGCACCGGCUAACUCUGUGCCAGCCGCCGCCGUAA
rnacentral:rRNA from 1 species